AUUUACCCCUUUGUGACGUCUAUGCUUUGUGACCACCGAAUCCUACUGCGGUAAACGUGCGAAGGAGUCCUUCAGCAUCAAGGGGUUGAUGGCUUGCUUGACAGCACGCUUUGCGUUACAGGAAUAGGCCUACCAACCUACGUUCAGUGUAAUACUUCUGCCGUUCAGGCACCGAUUUUAUAUUUGAACAUUUCUUCAUAGACAUUACAUAUAGGCUUUACAGUGGUUUGGUUGGUAGGUUUUAAACGUAAUUUUUGGUUUUACUACGGAAGAUUGACUCACUCAACUUGCUAACGUAACGUUACAUCUGGAUCUGGAUGCGGAGCAGCAGAACUACCACACCAGAAGCUCGUGGAUCAGCUCAGAAGGAGAGAGAGAAGAAUGAGUAAUCACAGUCUUGACCAUGAAGCAAGGACCAUGAAGGGAUGGCCAUCGAAAAGAAAUACCUGUAUUUUUAGGCAGUUACAGGCUACAGAAAGAAGAUGCGGAGAGUGAUCUCCCAGCAUCCUCAACUGGGUGCCAGUCCGCGUGUUAGGCUAUUAUAUGUAAUGACCACCUUAGUCCAGACUACUGAAGUUUGGAUACUAUCAUGGUCAAGACUUACAAAGUACUAUGGGCUGGCUGAGAAGAGGACUGGACUGAGACAUUUGCACAACCAAGCCAGCUUGGAGGAGAGGAUAUGGCUCACCAAUGCCAGCAAAAAGAGGAACCUCCUGGCCCAGACAUCAAUUGUGGUUUUAUUUUGUGAAAUAAAAAGACCAUACA